rnacentral:rRNA from 1 species
UACGUAGGGGGCAAGCGUUGUCCGGAUUUAUUGGGCGUAAAGAGCGUGUAGGCGGCCGUACAGGUCAGCUGUGAAAACUCGAGGCUCAACCUCGAGACGUCGGUUGAAACCGUACGGCUAGAGUCCGGAAGAGGAGAGUGGAAUUCCCGGUGUAGCGGUGAAAUGCGCAGAUAUCGGGAAGAACACCCGUGGCGAAGGCGGCUCUCUGGGCAGUAACUGACGCUGAGGAGCGAAAGCGUGGGGAGCGAACAGG